rnacentral:rRNA from 1 species
ACGGGAGUGGCGCACGGGUGAGUAACGCGUGGGCACCUACCCGGUGGUCCGGAAUAACCGCGGGAAACUGCGGCUAAUACCGAAUACGCCCUUAGGGGGAAAGAUUUAUCGCCAUCGGAUGGGCCCGCGUAGGAUUAGCUAGUUGGUGAGGUAACGGCUCACCAAGGCAACGAUCCUUAGCUGGUCUGAGAGGAUGAUCAGCCACACUGGGACUGAGACACGGCCCAGACUCCUACGGGAGGCAGCAGUGGGGAAUAUUGGACAAUGGGGGCAACCCUGAUCCAGCCAUGCCGCGUGAGUGAAGAAGGCCUUCGGGUUGUAAAGCUCUUUUGGCGGGGACGAUGAUGACGGUACCCGCAGAAUAAGCCCCGGCUAACUUCGUGCCAGCAGCCGCGGUAAGACGAAGGGGGCUAGCGUUGUUCGGAAUUACUGGGCGUAAAGGGCGCGUAGGCGGUUUGUUAAGUCAGGCGUGAAAGCCCUGGGCUCAACCUGGGAGGUGCGUUUGAUACUGGCAAGCUUGAGUGCAGGAGAGGAUGGUGGAAUUCCCAGUGUAGAGGUGAAACUCGUAGAUAUUGGGAAGAACACCGGUGGCGAAGGCGGCCAUCUGGACUGCAACUGAC